rnacentral:rRNA from 1 species
UUUAUCGGAGAGUUUGAUCCUGGCUCAGGACGAACGCUGGCGGCGUGCCUAAUACAUGCAAGUCGAGCGGACAGAUGGGAGCUUGCUCCCUGAUGUUAGCGGCGGACGGGUGAGUAACACGUGGGUAACCUGCCUGUAAGACUGGGAUAACUCCGGGAAACCGGGGCUAAUACCGGAUGCUUGUUUGAACCGCAUGGUUCAAACAUAAAAGGUGGCUUCGGCUACCACUUACAGAUGGACCCGCGGCGCAUUAGCUAGUUGGUGAGGUAAUGGCUCACCAAGGCAACGAUGCGUAGCCGACCUGAGAGGGUGAUCGGCCACACUGGGACUGAGACACGGCCCAGACUCCUACGGGAGGCAGCAGUAGGGAAUCUUCCGCAAUGGACGAAAGUCUGACGGAGCAACGCCGCGUGAGUGAUGAAGGUUUUCGGAUCGUAAAGCUCUGUUGUUAGGGAAGAACAAGUA